CCCUCACAAAGCCCUCUGGCUUUAGCCACAAACACUGAAAAGAGAAAAAAUGGCUUUGCGCUCAGCUGGUUCGCUCUCUCGGUCCUUGGCCUCCACCGCUAGGGUUUCGCUCCACCGCUCCGCCCCAACUCUCCGGCGCCUCCGCCCGCCUACCGCUCCGGCCACUCGCCGCUUCUCCUUCACCUCUCCCAGGAACUUGGGAGAACUGGGAUGCACACAGUCGCUGCUGCAUAUGCGAGCUGCAACAUGCCUCACAUCUCACCUGACUGUCAAUGCGCGUGCUUGUUGCGAGUUGUCCCACGGUACCUUCUGCCGUACUUGUCAGGAUCGCUAGUAGUCUAUUUGAAGGAAUGGAAAAGAUGGGUGAUGCGCUUGGACUUACGAUCAUCCAAAAGGCAGAAGAAUGAUGCAUCUUUGUAGGGACUUGAAAGGCUUUUUGAUCAAUAUAGCACAGUUGAGUACAACUAGAUAUUGGGGUGAUCGUAGAGAUUAGAUACUCGCUCUAUUCAGUAGCGAGCGCUCGUGGACUUGGAAAGUCUAGUUAGAAUAUGCAUUUUAAAUUUAUCCAUAAUAAGAAUCCUAGAAAUUAAUCCAAUUUCUGGAAUGACUUUUGGGAAAUGUGGUCUGUAGUGUCUCAAUUUCAGCCUCAUUGUUGGUCAAUUUCUCUCUUGAGCUAGUCGUUUCAACAUUCUGUUGUCAACUGUAGACCUUUAUUAGUUUUCCCUCGAGGUAAUAGUAUGUCACUUUCCCUCGAGGUAAUAGUAUGUCACUUCUGAUAAAUAUUGCAGCAUUUGUUA